GUUGAACAGAAGCUGUUGGGAGUAUUUGGGUUCUCAGCUUUGUUACCUUUUCUUACAGAGACUGAAGUUUCCUAAGGUAUCUGUUCCUGGCAAGCAGCUGGUCUCUGCAGCCGCUCUGGGGCUUGCAGCCCACAGGCUCCUGGAAAGCAGCUUUGAACAUAACCACAGUGUGAGACUGCACGCAGCAGAGCAAGCUGCUAUCGAUGUGAUAGAAGCAAAGAGCGUGGAAAAACACCCAACAGCAAGCCUCUAAAUCUUGCUGUUCAGCAGCAGUGUAGUUCAUGUACAUGAAUUACAGAAGGACUGCCUUGCCUAAGAAGCCUCUUGUGCCCUACAAUUCCUGCCUGAAUAAAUGAAUGGUGAGGUUUGCA
rnacentral:lncRNA from 1 species